GGCCAGCUAGCUCAGUCGGUAGAGCAUGAGACUCUUAAUCUCAGGGUCAUGGGUUCGGAAACCCACGUUGGGCG